rnacentral:misc_RNA from 1 species
GAUGGUGUUGAAUUCUGGAUCUUUAUUCAUGUACUCGAACAUAGACAUCCCAUGAACUUUCUUAAACAGAUCUCCACCUUCAAGAAUUGCAUCCUUCAUAUGUAACCUGUAACAAAAACCCAAACCCAUUUGGUAAAAUCAAAGGAAAAUGCAUUUCAAGGAUCAAAGUUUUUUUUCUUUUUCCCUUUUCUUUCCCCAUACCAAACCUCCAAGGUGGCUCUGUGAUAGGCAAAAGCAGAAAACGGGGCGAAAGAGCCUUCUUCUACAGUGCCAAGAAAGAAUUUACAGGCAGGCGUGAGCCCAUAAAGCUUUUCAAUCCUACCAUCUUCGAGGGUUCGUGAGGAGUAAGAGAGAAGGGAGUGAGUGGCGAAGAGACGCAACAUACGGUCAAGCAUAGAAGGGGCCUCAGGAUUUGAUGUGGGAAGCUGAGCGGCAAUCUCAGAAGCUGAAACAUAAGCUCCAGGGCCUGCU